AGUGAACGCUGGCGGUAUGCCUAACACAUGCAAGUCGAACGGCAGCACAGUAAGAUCUUGCUCUUACGGGUGGCGAGUGGCGGACGGGUGAGGAAUACAUCGGAAUCUACUUUUUCGUGGGGGAUAACGUAGGGAAACUUACGCUAAUACUGCAUACGACCUACGGGUGAAAGCAGGGGAUCUUCGGACCUUUCGCGAUUGAAUGAGCCGAUGUCGGAUUAGCUAGUUGGCGGGGUAAAGGCCCACCAAGGCGACGAUCCGUAGCUGGUCUGAGAGGAUGAUCAGCCACACUGGAACUGAGACACGGUCCAGACUCCUACGGGAGGCAGCAGUGGGGAAUCUUGGACAAUGGGCGAAAGCCUGAUCCAGCAAUACCGCGUGGGUGAAGAAGGCCUUCGGGUUGUAAAGCCCUUUUGUUGGGAAAGAAAAGCAGCAGGUUAAUACCCCGCUGUUCUGACGGUACCCAAAGAAUAAGCACCGGCUAACUUCGUG
rnacentral:rRNA from 1 species